rnacentral:rRNA from 1 species
UACGUAGGGAGCAAGCGUUGUCCGGAAUCAUUGGGCGUAAAGCGCGCGUAGGUGGCCUCGUAAGUCCGCUGUGAAAGUCAAAGGCUCAACCUUUGAAAGCCGGUGGAUACUGUGAGGCUAGAGUACGGAAGAGGCGAGUGGAAUUCCUGGUGUAGCGGUGAAAUGCGCAGAUAUCAGGAGGGACACCAAUGGCGAAGGCAGCUCGCUGGGACGUGACUGACGCUGAGACGCGAAAGCGUGGGGAGCAAACAGG